GUUGGCAGCCCGUUCUGCCUCCUGGUUCCCGCUCCUUCCUUGUGGCAUGGGUGUUGCACAUGAUCUCCUCCCACUCUGUGGCUCGCCUUUUUACCCUCUUAAUGAAAAGGUGUCCUGAUAAAGAGAAGAUCGUGAUUUUAAAGUCGUUGAAUUGUAUCUUUCCUUUAAGGUGAGAAUGCAGCUUGGCUGACUCCUUCUUUGUGAGACCCUGAGGGGAAGACUAGCUAAGUAAGCUGUGCCGACUGCUGACCCAUGGAAACUGUGAGGUGAGGAUUAAUAAAUAAGAGAACAUGCCAAAUGAGCAACAUGGGAAGUCAGAGGAGGAAGGAAAGACUGGCCUGUGUGGUGGGUGCUUCUCGUGCAGGGGCACGAGAUCUCAGCUGGAAGACAAAAGCGUAGUGGAGAGCCAUUGAAGGUUUACAGCAGGGAAUGCUGGUAACCAUGACUGAGCACAUGGCUCUUAAAGAUGAUUCUUCUGAUAGUUGGUGUGAAGGGGUUGCAGAGAGCACAUGACUCUAAAGAUGAUUCUUCUGAUAGUUGGUGUGAAGGGGUUGCAGAGAGACUGGACGUGACAGAGAACAAGAUCUGCUGUCACGAGAUGGAAAAGAAGGCUGGGUAGCCUUUGAAAGAAAGAACACACAUCUAUACCUCCAUAAGGCUGUUUUUAAAAAAGAAAGAACAAGACUACAGGUCCCAGUACCCACAUGUAGAAAUAGAGGAAGGGGAUAUGUUUUCACUGAAACUAACGAGAUGAAAGGUAUGGAUUUGGCUUGUAAUCAUGAACUUGAGGUGACAAGCUCAGAUUUGGAAAUGGAUUCCUCAGACAAUGUGGCAUGUAGUAUGCAGUUAAGAAUUAUUCUUCAGAAAGAAAAAAAAAAGAAUUAUUCUUCAGGAGAAACCAAGAUGGCGGCAUACGUAA